AAAAGAUUGACCAUGAGUGAAGUGGGCCUGUGUCUCCACCCAGAGGAGUGAAGAGAUGGAAACCAUGCACUGAUGCCCAGAAUAGAAGCCUGGAAGUUUGUUUGCAGAAAUAGCAGUCGUUACUUUCCUGUGUAUAGAAGGGGACACUAAAGUAGAUAUACUCAAAAUAAAUAAAGGGAUGAAGUGCUGGAGAGAUGACUGCUGAGAACGCCUGCCAUAACAGCCACAGUAAUAACAAGAGGUUUUAAACUGGCAUCUGAUUGUGCCUCCUGGAAGCACGACUGUGUAGGUAAUUGCACAGCGCAACACUGAUAUGCCAGAGUGCUGAUAUAAGGAAAGGUCGCAUUCUCUGCUUUGUGUCUGCACAAGACUCAUGGACCUAAAUAUGAGCAAAACAAACAGGUUUUGUAAGAGAGGGACUGCCUCUUCUUCUUAAAUUAUGGAUCCAUAAGGCUGAAGCAAGGAACUAUUUUGGUCUUGCACAGUAUGAAUAAUGCACAUAGUACUGUUAUACACAUCCUGCAUGUUGCGGAGCCAGAACGCAUAAUAUCUUUAAUAAACAUUCAAAGUGCUCACUAUA